CCACUCCGCUUUGUUGCACUGGGCACAUGCUUCUGUUAGGACAUCACAUCACCGAAUCAAGCUGCCAACUUUGGAGCCUGAUUCGUGAUGGCUGCAAAAAAAUACCUGCAAUGGCUUCUACUGCAACUACUUCGUCCCCAACUCCAACAGCAAGCCUACCAUGUGGACCGAGGCCUGGCCUGGAUGUUCACGGCAUUUGGUGGCGCGGUGCCGCACCGGGCUGGUGGAGGACAUGGCGUUCAUGGUGGUAAGGUUCAUUCAGAAGUGCGGGUCCUUCGUCAACUACUACAUGUACCAUGGACCGGACCGCCGAUGGCCUGUUCAUCGCGACAAGCUACGACCAUGAUGCACCGAUCGACGAAUAUGGUACGCGACCAGUACUCCCGUUGCGACCAGUAUUCU